rnacentral:lncRNA from 13 species
GAUUGUUGCUUCAUGUAUUUUGAUGCUCUGCUAUUAGACCCUUACACAUUUAUAAUUGUUAUCUCCCUUUUAUUAUUAUGAAAAAAAUCCUUUGUAUAAGUAGUACUUUCUAUAUUGAAGUAUUCUUAUCAGAUAUCAAAACAGUAAGUCAGCCUUUUACUGCUUACUCUUCGUGUGGUAUAUUUUUUCCCUUUCAUUCACUUUGAACUUAUCUGUGUUUUAUAUUGUCUUUAAUAGGAAAUAUAAAAUAAAAUCUAGCUUGAGGAUCCACUCUGUUAAUAUAUGCCUCUUAAUUGUAAUUUUUGGACUCUUGACAUUUAAUGAAUUAUUAAUAUGGUUUGAUUUUCUUCUAUCAUUUUAUUGUUUUCUGUUUUUUACCAUUUUAUUGUUUAAGUUUUUCUCCUAUGUAUUCUGUUUCUGUUUCCUUGUUUCUUUUCUUUUUUUUUUUGCAAGUUAUAUAAUUGACAUUUAUUUCUUCUUUACAGGUCUUCUUGAUAAUGUAACAGUUCUUAUUGGAAUUGCUUAUGAAGGAAAAGCAGGAAUUAUUAACCAGCCAUAUCACAACUAUCAGACAGAAUCUUACUCUGCUGCCCAGGCUGGAGUGCAGUGGUGCGAUCUCAGCUCACUACAACCUCCGCCUCCUGGGUUAAAGGAUUCUUCUGCCUCAGUCUGCAAAGUAGCUGGGAUUACAGGCAUGCACGACCACAUCUGGAUGGAGAUUUUUGUAGUCUGGGAUGAAAUGAACAGGUUUAUGUAAUUGAUUAGUAACAGGAAGGCUGAAAAACAAAUGCUAAGCUACAUGAAGGGUGCUCCUGGUGACACUGGCAAUGCAGAUUUGACGAACACCUUCCCAAAGGGUAGAAGCAACCCACUGCUGCAAAUCAGAAAAUCAACUUUGUCCUGGAGGUUCCUCUUCAUUGAGGUGAAUUAUGAUGUUAUCUUAAUUACUGUUCUUUUCCCUAGUACUUCUGGCAAAUAUUCCAUUGGCCUUGAUUCUAGCACUAUCCACUGAAAUGUUGUAAAAUUACCAAUGACUGAAACAGGGAGCAACGCAUUAGAGAGACCUUUAAAGAUUGGAUUCCUUUUUGUGAAGGUCCACUGCUAAUGACUUUUCAGCAAACUGCGCUGUGUAAUUUAAGCAGAACACAUGUUUUUUCACAAUAGACUCGUAGGAUAUGGAAACAUACAGAUGCUUUCACAGCCCAAAAUGAAGAAUUAACAAUCUAUAAAUUAAUUAUAGGUGUCUUUUGUAUCUUUCCCC